AAGUCGUAACAAGGUUUCCGUAGGUGAACCUGCGGAAGGAUCAUUAACACGUAUCCAACGUUAAAACAACCCUGUGAACCUUCAGCCUGCUCGCGUAGCCCAUGAAAGCAGCAAUCCCUGGUAAAUCAUUGUUGACCAGCUUUUGAGUCAGGGACCUCUGCCGAUGAGAAGUUACAGUUACGCUCGUAGCGGUAGUCAAAGCGACUCGGCACCCCCAAGCAGUCAUUGUCUGAAAGCGUCAUUGAUUGUGUAAGGGUGGCGCUAUCGAUCGUUGGAGGCCGACAACUGUAAAUAAGUUGGGCCUGCGUUAGAUUCGCGGUCAAAAAAAAACGAACAACUGUUAACAAUGGAUAUCUUGGUUCUC
rnacentral:misc_RNA from 1 species